rnacentral:misc_RNA from 1 species
GCGUCGUUAAAGACCAUAAGGCCAUGCCUUGCGAUGAGUUUCUGGUGUUUACGAAAGUAAAGCCAGUCGCUUCAAACUGAUUGGCGUCUGAAGUUAGCCAAGCACAGCAAAAUGUGUUCUGUCUCUAGCGAAGGAUUGCCCGUACCCAAAAUCAUUAAUUGGUCGACCUCGGAUCAGGCAAGAUUACCCGCUGAACUUAA